rnacentral:rRNA from 1 species
ACUAAGCCGCGAGGUGGAGNAAACCCAAAAAAGACAGUCUCAGUUCGGAUUGAAGGCUGAAAUUCGCCUUCAUGAAGCCGGAAUUGCUAGUAAUGGCAGGUCAGCAUACUGCCGUGAAUACGUUCCCGGGCCUUGUACACACCGCCCGUCACACCAUGAGAGUUGGGAAUACCCGAAGCCUGUGAGCUAACUUUUAGAGGCAGCAGUCGAAGGUAGAAUCAAUGAUUGGGGUGAAGUCGUAACAAGGUAGC